GGCCACCUACGGGGGGCAGCAGUGAGGAAUAUUGGUCAAUGGCCGGGAGGCUGAACCAGCCAAGUCGCGUGAGGGAAGACGGCCCUACGGGUUGUAAACCUCUUUUGUCAGGGAGCAAAAGGCGGGUCGAGACCUGCUGUGAGAGUACCUGAAGAAAAAGCAUCGGCUAACUCCGUGCCAGCAGCCGCGGUAAUACGGAGGAUGCGAGCGUUAUCCGGAUUUAUUGGGUUUAAAGGGUGCGCAGGCGGAGGCACAAGUCAGCGGUAAAAUCGCGGGGCUCAACCCCCCUCCGCCGUUGAAACUGG
rnacentral:rRNA from 1 species